UACGUAGGGUGCGAGCGUUGUCCGGAAUUAUUGGGCGUAAAGAGCUUGUAGGCGGUUUGUCGCGUCUGCCGUGAAAAUCCGAGGCUCAACCUCGGACUUGCGGUGGGUACGGGCAGACUAGAGUGUGGUAGGGGAGACUGGAAUUCCUGGUGUAGCGGUGAAAUGCGCAGAUAUCAGGAAGAACACCCGUGGCGAAGGCGGCUCUCUGGGACGGUACUGACGCUGAGACGCGAAAGCCAGGGGAGCAAACGGG
rnacentral:rRNA from 1 species